CGCGUAGGUGGUUUAUUAAGUCAGAUGUGAAAUCCCUGGGCUUAACCUAGGAAUUGCAUAUGGUACUGAUAGGCUAGAGUAUGGGAGAGGGAAGUGGAAUUUCCGGUGUAGCGGUGAAAUGCGUAGAUAUCGGAAGGAACACCAGUGGCGAAGGCGACUUCCUGGCCCAUUACUGACACUGAGGCGCGAAAGCGUGGGGAGCGAACA
rnacentral:rRNA from 1 species